GCCACUUGUGCCUGGAGAGGACUGCUUGCCCGCCUCUUGCCCUGUGACUAUGGCCCCUGGGAUGUAUUGCCCUUUAAAGACAUGAUUUGGGCAUAAUGGAUUUGUGUUGUGCUGCUGCUGGCCCUUUAAGAACCAUCUGGGGACAUACUGUGGAGUUACUGGGUGGCCACCAUUUCCUGUAUCAGAAGCACAUGGUGAGAACAAUGGAUGGAGGCCAUUUUAAC